UGAAGUCGGAAUCGCUAGUAAUCGCAGAUCAGCAUGUUGCGGUGAAUACGUUUCCUGGUCUUGUACACACCGCCCGUCAAACCAUGAGAGUCGCCAACACCCGAAGUCCGCUUUGCGGCCUAAGGUGGGGGAGAUGAUUGGGGUUAAGUCGUAACAAGGUAGC
rnacentral:rRNA from 1 species